UCUCCGUUGGUGAACCAGCGGAGGGAUCAUUACAGAGUUCCACAACUCCCAACCCCUGCGAACCGACCCCCAGUUUGUUCUCGUUGCCUCCUCGCGCCGCGCCCCCGGCGCCCCCGCCGGGACCCCCCCCACCGGCGCCGAGCCCCCUCAACCUUUUUUUCUCACCCAGCCCACCUGAGCAAACAAACACAUGAAUCAAAACUUUAAACAACGGAUCUCUCAGUUCUGGCAUCCAUGAAAAACGCAGCAAAACCGAAGAUCACACCUCUGAACUCCAGU
rnacentral:misc_RNA from 1 species